rnacentral:rRNA from 1 species
GACGAACGCUGGCGGCGUGCCUAAUACAUGCAAGUAGAACGCAGUUGCGAACGGGUGAGUAACGCGUAGGUAACUGCCUCAUAGCGGGGGAUAACUAUUGGAAACGAUAGCUAAUACCGCAUACUGUGAGAUUGACCUGCGUUGUAUUAGCUAGUUGGUGCGGUAAAGGCCCACCAAGGCGACGAUACAUAGCCGGCCUGAGAGGGUGAUCGGCCAACCUGGGACUGGGGAAAGGGCCCGAACCCUUACGGAGGCAGCCGUAGGGAAUUUUUGCAAAUGGACGGCAGGCUGACCGCACAACGCCGGGGGAGUGAAGAAGGUUUUCGGAUCGUAAAGGUAUGUUGUUAGAGAAGCGGUAACUAACCAGAAAGGGACGGCUAACUACGUGCCAGCAGCCGCGGUAAUAC